CACAAAGACAGAUGGAACUCUUUUUCUCAGGGUAUUGGCUCUUCCAUUUCAUAGUUUUAUCAUUUUGAGUGAUAACCCAAAAGGAUAGCUCACCCUAAUGACUGCCUCCAAUGUGAAGUCUCCCUCCACUCAGCUCUAGCAAGGAUGCGGCAACUCUGUUUCAAUUACACAGCUCACUCCUCAGUCUUCCAGUCCAGCUGCUUUUCCAUGUCUGCUCUCCACAGCCGACUGUUAACUCUUUGGGGGCAAUGAACAUAUCUUAUUAUCUCUACAUACCCAUAACACCUGUCAUAGAGUAAUACUUCAGAGCUGGAAAGGAACAAAGAAAUACAACAGAUGCCAACUCCUUUAAUCAUGGAGUCUGAACUCUCUUGUGUUCUAGGCUAUGAUAGAUAACUACAUACCUCGUGUUGUUUUAAUACUUGAUACAAUCUCAUAAGCUACAUAUUUUUAUUUUUAAUUUUAAAGACUGGAAAAUUGGGACUUAAAAGAAGUUGAAGAAAUUAUCCAAUUUCAUACAGCCAGUAAGUGGCAGAGUUGAAAUUCUUGAUGAGUGUAUUUUGCUGCCCCUCUACUUAUUUAAUGUCUAGAAAACCAAAGCCCCAACAGAGAACAGAAUUUUCUUAGUCACUCACAGAGAGAAUAAAGCCAGGUCUAGAAUGCAGAGUAGACUUCAGUUUGCUUUACCAACCACCCCAGUUUCCUUACCUUGAGCAUCAUAGCAGGGGAAGAAAAAAUAUUUUUGGAAUUUCUCGAUCACUUGGGACAGUCAUUGUCAUUCUACAAGUGAAUGGCCUGGCAAAUUUUUGAAAAGAAGUUGGAUGUGUUUUCUUUUCCAAAGAUACCAGUCCAUCAUUUGGCCAGUUUAGCUCACUUUUUGGAUGCUGACUUGCUCUGAGUUCUCUUGAACUCUUCCUUUCUGAUCUCAGACCUCCAACAAACUAUUUUCACCUUGAACUUCCUCAAGUCUGUGGGACUUUCCUCUGAUCCUCCAAUCUGAUUCUGUUACUAUUUCUGGGCAGGCAUUAGAUUUCUCAGAGUUAAUCUGAUGGCUAUUUCCUGGUGAAAAUUCAGUGGUGAUUGCUAACCUCUGUUCUUGGAGGUGGCAGGAAAAUCUCAAGGACCCACAAGUAAUAAAGUACUGGUAUUAUGUAGAGCUCAAUUUCAAACGUGAAAAUAAACUCAGUGAGUCUGAUCACUCAUA